AGUGAUAAGGGAUGAGAAGUUACAAGUAUGCAUGCUUGCAUGCAUAUACUUGUAACCUCGAAGACCGAACAUACAUGAGGAAUAAAGAUAUGCGAAUUUAAUGAGCAUAUCGUGUUCCGAAUGUAUGUAGGAUUGCGAAAACGAAGUGGAGCAAUCCGUAUAUCACU
rnacentral:sRNA from 1 species